CGAGUGGCGAACGGGUGAGUAACGCGUGAGGAACCUGCCUCAAAGAGGGGGACAACAGUUGGAAACGACUGCUAAUACCGCAUAAGCCCACGGGUCGGCAUGGGACAGUGUGAAAAACUCCGGUGGUACAGGAUGGAUUCGCGUCUGAUUAGCCAGUUGGCGGGGUAACGGCCCACCAAGGCGACGAUCGGUAGCCGGACUGAGAGGUUGAACGGCCACGUUGGGACUGAGACACGGCCCAGACUCCUACGGGAGGCAGCAUG
rnacentral:rRNA from 1 species